UACGUAGGGACCAAGCGUUGUCCGGAUUUAUUGGGCGUAAAGAGCUCGUAGGCGGUUGUUCGCGUCGGAUGUGAAAGCUCAGGGCUCAACCCUGAGAGGCCAUUCGAUACGGGACGACUAGAGGUAGGUAGGGGAGAUCGGAAUUCCUGGUGUAGCGGUGAAAUGCGCAGAUAUCAGGAGGAACACCGGUGGCGAAGGCGGAUCUCUGGGCCUUACCUGACGCUGAGGCGCGAAAGCUAGGGGAGCAAACAGG
rnacentral:rRNA from 1 species